UUGGAAACGAUGGCUAAUACCGCAUGAUGCCUACGGGUCAAAGAGGGGGACCUUCGGGCCUCUCGCGUCAGGAUAUGCCUAGGUGGGAUUAGCUAGUUGGUGAGGUAAGGGCUCACCAAGGCGACGAUCCCUAGCUGGUCUGAGAGGAUGAUCAGCCACACUGGAACUGAGACACGGUCCAGACUCCUACGGGAGGCAGCAGUGGGGAAUAUUGCACAAUGGGCGCAAGCCUGAUGCAGCCAUGCCGCGUGUAUGAAGAAGGCCUUCGGGUUGUAAAGUACUUUCAGUAGUGAGGAAGGCGGUGUCGUUAAUAGCGGCUUCGUUUGACGUUAGCGACAGAAGAAGCACCGGCUAACUCCGUGCCAGCAGCCGCGGUAAUACGGAGGGUGCGAGCGUUAAUCGGAAUUACUGGGCGUAAAGCGCAUGCAGGUGGUUUGUUAAGUCAGAUGUGAAAGCCCGGGGCUCAACCUCGGAAUAGCAUUUGAAACUGGCAGACUAGAGUACUGUAGAGGGGGGUAGAAUUUCAGGUGUAGCGGUGAAAUGCGUAGA
rnacentral:rRNA from 1 species